rnacentral:rRNA from 1 species
CUGGCUCAGGAGAAACGCUGGCGGCGCACAUAAGACAUGCAAGUCGAACGGAAUUAGUCGAAUGUUAACCAUGAGACGAAAUUAGUGCGGACGGGUGAGUAACACGUGAGCAACCUACCUUCAGAGGGGGAUAACAUUGAGAAAUCAGUGCUAAUACCGCAUAACACUAUUGAAAGACAUCUUUUAAUAGUCAAAGGAGAAAUCCACCUAAAGAUGGGCUCGCGGCUGAUUAGCCAGUUGGCGGGGUAACGGCCCACCAAAGCGAUGAUCAGUAGCCGAGCUGAGAGGCACAACGGCCACAUUGGGACUGAGACACGGCCCAGACUCCUACGGGAGGCAGCAGUCGGGAAUAUUGCACAAUGGAGGAAACUCUGAUGCCAGUGACGCCGCGUAUAGGAUGAAGGUCCUUGGAUUGUAAACUAUUGUCGACAGGGAAGAAAAAAUGACAGUACCUGUGGAGGAAGCUCCGGCUAACUACGUGCCAGCAGCCGC